rnacentral:rRNA from 1 species
GAUGAACGCUGGCGGCGUGCCUAGUACAUGCAAGUCGAGCGAACGGACGAGAAGCUUGCUUCUCUGAUGUUAGCGGCGGACGGGUGAGUAACACGUGGAUAACCUACCUAUAAGACUGGGAUAACUUCGGGAAACCGGAGCUAAUACCGGAUGAUAUUUUGAACCGCAUGGUUCAAAAGUGAAAGACGGUCUUGCUGUCACUUAUAGAUGGAUCCGCGCUGCAUUAGCUAGUUGGUAAGGUAACGGCUUACCAAGGCAACGAUGCAUAGCCGACCUGAGAGGGUGAUCGGCCACACUGGAACUGAGACACGGUCCAGACUCCUACGGGAGGCAGCAGUAGGGAAUCUUCCGCAAUGGGCGAAAGCCUGACGGAGCAACGCCGCGUGAGUGAUGAAGGUCUUCGGAUCGUAAAGCUCUGUUAUUAGGGAAGAACAUAUGUGUAAGUAACUGUGCACAUCUUGACGGUACCUAAUCAGAAAGCCACGGCUAACUACGUG